GAUGAACGCUGGCGGCGUGCCUAAUACAUGCAAGUAGAACGCUGAAGGAGGAGCUUGCUCUUCUGGAUGAGUUGCGAACGGGUGAGUAACGCGUAGGUAACCUGCCUGGUAGCGGGGGAUAACUAUUGGAAACGAUAGCUAAUACCGCAUGACAACAGUUAUUGCAUGAUAACUGUUUAAAAGGGGCAACUGCUCCACUACCAGAUGGACCUGCGUUGUAUUAGCUAGUUGGUGAGGUAACGGCUCACCAAGGCGACGAUACAUAGCCGACCAGAGAGGGGGAUCGGCCCCACUGGGACUGGGACACGGCCCAGACUCCUGCGGGAGGCAGCAGUCGGGAAUCUUCGGCGAUGGACGGAAGGCGGGCCGAGGAACGCCGCGUGGGUGAAGAAGGUUGUCGGGUCGUAAAACUCUGUUGUAAGAGAAGAACGAGUAGGAGAGUGGAAAGGUCACACUGUGACGGUAUCUUACCAGAAAGGGACGGCUAACUACGUG
rnacentral:rRNA from 1 species